rnacentral:lncRNA from 1 species
CACAAAGAGCCGUGUUAUUGUAUUUAAAAGAACCAUCUGUAGCAGAAACAAUGGCAUCAAAUUAUCUUUGAAUACCCACUGAAAAAACAUAAAGCUUUUUUUUUUAUUCUUCUUCUGUACGGUGGGGGGAUAGAGCAGUGUUAGGAUAACUGACUUUUUUGUUGUUCUCUGGGUGCAUUCUUCUCGCUCCCCCUCUCUCUCCCCCUCACCCUCUCACUCCUCUCUCUCUCUCUCUCUCUCUCUCUCUCUCUCUCUCCCUCUCCCUCUCUCUCUUUUAAAAAAUCAGCCAUUUGGGGUUUUAAGCCAUAAACGAUUUUUCUUGUUGCAGGGGAUUGCAGUGGCAACGCUAGGCUAGGUCUUGGAGGCUGGUGUAUGGCGAAGCGGUUGAAGGCAGGAGGCUGAUGGAGAGACUGGGGGGAAGAAAAGCCGAAAUGGAUUCACGGUGCCUUGGAUGGAGGACGAGAGGGGAAUUGCAAGCUCCUUCAACUGUUCUGUCCGGUGAGAAGUGAUCAAGCUUGGGCUGACAAGAGGCUCAGGGAGCCCUCACGUUCUUUCGCUUUUUUACCUGCCAAUCAAACUGCUACAAGACAACACCCUGAUCUGGCAUGGACAUCGCGGGUCCAAGCCUGUAGACCCAAAUCGGAUAAUCUCUGCAGCUGAUAACAAGCAAAAGAGAAGCCAGGCAACAGCCAUAUUAACGAAGAAAACAAUCAACUCUGAGGUAAUCCGUGUUUUGAACGCAACAGCUGAGAAAGUACAACAAAAAGAGUUGGGCUGGCUUGUGCAUGGCUCCACAGUGACUUCAUUUAUCUGGCCAGGUCUGAGUGAAUCGAACAGAGCAAAAUGUGCCUCUAACUGCCUGGGCUUCUUGUUCAGGCCCCUAGCUCAUUUGAACAGCUAAUCUCUCUCUGAGGGCUUCUGCUGCUUGUGGCCCUAGACUGCCAUAUCCGGGCGCAUCUCCUUGGGAUGCUCUCCCUCUUCUUCCCAGGGC